UCAGAAAUCAAGAACAAGCGCAGGCAAGUUCGUGGGGUCGCUCUCGGUUUUCCAACGGACGCGACAUCAACACAGAGUUCAUCCGUUCACAACAACAGAAUGCUUAUGGAGGCAGUAGCGGGGGCAACACUCGGCCCGCGUCCGUCGCUGGGAGCGGGGGCUCGCCGGCUUUAGAUCAGAGACCAGCUUCAAGGUCAUCGGGCGAGUCCGAACUCUCAGUGAGUGGGGUCUCAAAAGACAAGAAGGACAAGA